GGGGAAGUGAGAGGUAGUGGGUUGAUGAGUCCGAGGCGUCUCAGCAAGCUGUCGCGAGGACCAGCUAUGCAUUCUGGUUUCCCCUCCAGUCCCCCGGGCUGCUUCCAUCCUGAGGUCUUGAAGUCGUUUUCUUUCUGGAUUUCUGGCUGCAAUCCAGUGACACCUGACGGCGGUGGCGAGGGGGAUCCUGAUAGCUGAUUGGCCGCGGCAAGGAUCCUGAAGGAGGCCGCGGUCUGCCAGUGCACCCAGGCCCCAGCUGUGACUCAGCCGCCGCUCUCCAGCACGGGGAGAGGGAACUCUCCGCCCGCCCGCGGACCCACCCCCGGCGCGAGCCGUGACGUCUCCCGGAAUUCACAGCUGCCCUCUCUCCCCGCUGGGCUCCCCCCAUCGGCACGCAGGAGGCUCUUCUGUCGCAGGCGGGAGCUGAGAGCAAACUGCCGGGGUCGUGCACGACUCCCCGGGGCUUCCCGCAGAAACUGAUUCGCAAGCGGGGGUGGGGUGGGGUUCCGGCAGCCGUUGGUAACCCGCGCCCUGUCCCCUCCGCCUCCGCCCCAAUGAGGAUGAAGUUUCCUUCAUGAAGUUAAGCCAUCUGGCCAAGGUCAC
rnacentral:lncRNA from 1 species